CAAGAAAAGUAGAAUGGACUAAAGGUCUUUUAAAAACACACCUCACCAAGCUCAGCCACCAACUUAAAAAGGACUGGACAAUACUUUUACCACUUUCCCUUCUCAGAAUUCAGGCCUGUCCUCGUAAUGCUACAGGGUACAGCCCAUUUAAGGUCCUGUAUAGACACUCCUUUUUAUUACGCCCCAGUCUCAUUCCAGACACCAGACCAACUUAGACUGUGCCUCAAAAAAAACAAAAAAACUUGUCAUCCCUACUAUCUUCUGUCUACUCAUACUCCUAUUCACCGUUCUCAACUACUCAUACAUGCCCUGCUCUUGUUUACACUGCCAGUUUACACUGUUUUUCCAAGCCAUCACAGCUGAUAUCUCCUGGUGCUAUCCCCAAACUGCCACUCUUAACUCUUGAAGUAAAUAAAUAAUCUUUGCUGGCAGGACUAUGCCAAAUCUCCUUAAACACUCUCUAAUCAGACAUCCUGAGUCGUCCCAAUUCUUAGACCUUUUAUACCUGUUUUUCUCCUUCUGUUAUUCCAUUUAGUUUUUCAAUUCAUACAAAACCGUAUCCAGGCCAUCACCAAUCAUUCUAUACGACAAAUGUUUCUUCUAACAACCCCACAAUAUCACCCCUUACCACAAGACCUCCCUUCAGCUUAAUCUCUCCCACUCUAGGUUCCCACGCCGCCCCUAAUCCCGCUCGAAGCAGCCCUGAGAAACAUCACCCAUUCUCUCUCCAUACCACCCCCCAAAAAAUUUUCGCCGCCCCAACACUUCAACACUAUUUUGUUUUAUUCUUCUUAUUAAUAUAAGAAGGCAGGAAUAUCAGGCCUCUGAGCCCAAGCCAAGCCAUCGCAUCCCCUGUGACUUGCACGUAUACGCCCAGAUGGCCUGAAGUAACUGAAGAAUCACAAAAGAAGUGAAUAUGCCUUGCCCCACCGUAACUGAUGACAUUCCACCACAAAAGAAGUGUAAAUGGCCGGUCCUUGCCUUAACUGAUGACAUUACCUUGUGAAAGUCCUUUUCCUGGCUCAUCCUGGCUCAAAAAGCACCCCCACUGAGCACCUUGCGACCCCCACUCCUACCCGCCAGAGAACAAACCCCCUUUGACUGUAAUUUUCCUUUACUGACCCAAAUCCUAUAAAACGGCCCCACCCUUAUCUCUCUUCGCUGACUCUCUUUUCGGACUCAGCCCACCUGUACCCAGGUGAAAUAAACAGCUUUAUUGCUCACACAAAGCCUGUUUGGUGGUCUCUUCACACGGACGUGCAUGAAAGUUACCAAAUAAUAUUAUUUAAUAGUUGUCGAUUUAUACAGCAUACCAUUAAUGUUAAAACCGCUGUUGCAAGAGCAUUUAGACUCUUUCUUCAUAUGCUAUGUGGCAGGAAUUCUUGACCUCUAUUUUCCAUAAAUAUUGUAUAUAUACCUAGACUAAAAUGUCCGGUGUUUUCCACUGACAGCACUGAAUGGCAUCCUGCUAUCUUCAGGCAUCUCAAAUUGAAGUCACUACAGUUGGCUGGUACAUCAAGGGGCCAGCAGGGACCACAGCACCAAAUCUUCUCUCACCAUUAUCCCAGAUAAAAAGAGUGUGCUGCCUGUAGCUGCUAGCACCCUUUCUUUGAUAAGGGAGCACCCCAUAAGCUGUCCUGGAAAGGAAGGUGUUAGUUAAGUUGUGUUGCAGGUUGGAUUCUCCGGAGGCAGAUGCCUAGAAGUUUAGGGCCCGAGGUUUAUUUGGCACCAACACCUGUGGAAGAGAGAAGAAGCAGGAUUGGGCAGUGAAAGAUGUCCAGCAGUGAUAUGGGCAUGACAAAGUCUUGGCCAGAGGCUGUCUCUGUACCACCCACAGUGGGGUAUGUGCAGUGCAGUGACAUGAUGAUAGCUCACUGCAGCCUCAACCUCCCAGGCUCAGGCAAUCCUCCUGCCUCAGCCUCCUCAAGUCCUCCUUUGAAGAGGUAGCUGGACAUCACAUCGUUGUCUACCACGUAGUGUGUCUAGAUAAGGCUGGGAAAAGUGAGGUGGGUUAUCCCUGGGCAUCCUCUGGUUUAACAAGAGUAGGAACUCAGUUGACUGCUCUUGUUUCGUAUACCAUUAGACAAGUCCACAGCAGAAAGUGAAAGCACUGCCAGGUACAGUGACUCAUGCCUGUAUUCCUAGUGUUUAGGGAGACUGAGGCAGGAGGAUCGCUUGAGGCCAGGUGUUUGAGACCAGCCUGGGCAACAUAGCAAGACCCUGUCUCUACAAAAAUUUAAAAAAUUAGCCAGGUGUGGUGGUACACACCUGUAGUGCCAUCUACUCAGCAGGUUGAGGGAGGAGGAUCACUUAACCCGGGAGGCCGAGGCUGCAGUGAGCUAUGAUCACACCAAUGCACUUCAGCCUGGGCAACAGAUUGAGAGCCUGUCUCAAAAAAAAAAAAAAAAAAAAAAGUGAAGGCACCAAGUGGCAAUUGUCAGAGGCUGUGGCCUACUCAGGAAGCAGACUUGGAGAUGGAGAGUGGUGGACAGGAGGUUUGCUAGGGAGUGGUCUUGGGAUCACCACCUCUGGAAGGGGAAAGGAAGAAGGAUGGGGCAGGAAGAGAAGUUGGCUGAUGCAUUAGUCAGGGUUCACUAGAGGGAAAGAACUAAUAGGAUAGAUGUAUAUAUGAAGGGGAGUUUAUUAGGAAGAAUCAACUCACAAGAUCACAAGGUGAAGUCCCACAAUAGGCUGUCUGCAAGCUAAGGAGCAAGGAAGCCAGUCUGAGUUCCAAAACCUCAAAAGUAGGGAAGCCGACAAUGUGGCCUUCAGUCUGUGGCCGUAAGCUCGAGAGCCCCUGGCAAACCACUGGUCUAAGUCCAAGAGUCCAAAAGCUGAAGAGCUUGGAGUCUGAUGUUCAAGAGCAGGAAGGAUUCAGCAAGAGAGAAAGAUGGAAGGCCAGAAGACUCAAGGCCAGGCUAACAGGGACUGCUGAUGGGGAAAUAAAGAAAUAAUCAAGGAUGAAUCCUAUAUCUGGGGCUUGAGCAAAUACGUUCAAGUCCUGACACUGGUACCUGUGAAUGUGAUCUUAUCUGGAAAGAGAGACUUUUUGGCCUAUGAGAUGUGGGGGCCCCAAAUCCAAUGACUGAAGUCAAUGGAAGAAGAUGAGAGGAUGCACAGAGAGACACACAAAGAGAAGAGCACCAUGUGUAGAUGGAGGCACAGGUUGGAGCGAUGCAGCUACAAGCCAAGGAACACCAAGGAACUAGAAAGAGGCAUUAAGAAUCCUUCCUUAGAGCCUUCAGAGGGUAGCUGGCCCUGCUGACACCUUAAUUUUGGACUUCUAGCCUCUAGAAUUAUGAGUGAAUACAUUUCUGUUAUUUUAAGCCACAGAAGUGGUAAUUUGUUAUAGCAAUGCUUGGGAACAAAUACAUAUACCAAUAUGGUUCUAUUAGCUAGUAUACUCUAAUUUUAUAGUCGGUAAUAUCAAGGGAGUAACACAAGGUAUCUGCACUACAGAAGCAGAUGUCUGAUUACUAGGUUCUGUGAUGAAACUUUGUAUUUCAAAAAAUGGAUCCCCUUCAUUCUCUCCUUGUUUCUAUGUCUGCUGUCCUGAAGCCAGAUGUGUUACCAUGAUGUCUUUAUACUAAUAUACUAACACAGCAGUUCUCAAAGCACUGUUCAUGGACACUUUGAGCUCCCUGAGACUCUUCCAGGGGGAGGCCAAAUCUAUUCUCAUACUUUCCCUUUUCACUGUGUUGACAUUUGCAGUGAUAGUGCAGAAGCAACGAUAGGCAAAACUGCUGACACCUUAGGACAAAUGGCAGUACCAGCAAUUGCACUAGUAGACAUCUUAUUCUUCGUCUUCAUGACUGGCAGAAAACAAACAAACAUAAAAAGAAUUUGACUUAAGAAUGACCUUGAUGAAGCAGCAACAUGAUUUAUUAAAUCUUUAUCCUUCAGUACAAGUCUUUUUAAUAUUGUGUGUGAUGUUAUGGGGAGUACAAAUAAAGCACUUCUGUGACAUACAGAAGUACAAAAAAAUAGUACUUGUGUAAUUGAGUUCUAGCUAAACUAGCAGCUUUUCCCAUGAACACCAGUUUUACUUGACAAACAGACUUGGGCUAUUCAGGUUAUUCAGACUUGGGUAUUUGGCAAACAUGUCCCUCCAUGCUCAGAGAUUCUCCUUCAGAGGCAACCAUCUUAGACUCUGUUUUCUUUACUGAGAAUGACAUUUCUUGUAAAAGCUUAAACACAGGUAAGGCCAAGGUAUUUUGCCUAAGGACAGAAAGCAUAAUGUUGUAGAGGUGGGUUCCCUUCCAGCCCAUUACACUUCCCAUUCCACUAAACGAGACAGGUGGUUUUCCACAUUUCAUGCAUCUCCUCCUUGAGACAGUGAAUCAAUGCUGCAAGAGAAAGAAAUGCCAGGUGGAAAAGCUGACAAGUCAGAUAUUACACAGCCACUUAAUUUUUAUUUUGUAGUUUUCACAAUUUGAGCAACCAAGUAGAAUACAUUAAAAAGAUACUAAAAAUGCGCUGUGAUAAAAUUCAUUUGACCAGGAAAUAUAGGCUUUCAUGUUUUUGUCUCCAGCUCAGCCUUUUCUCAUUUUUAAUGGCAACUGUUUUCUGGAUUUGGCACUUAUUUUGACAAAAGCUAUGUUGAGUUGCAAAUUGAAACAUGGUGCAUAGCUUCUAUGAUUAAGAAAUCCAGAAUCUAUCCAACCUAAGGCCUUAAAGGCAGAAAGAAAUGCUCAGAGAAAAAUUUCUCAACUUUGCCAUGUACCGAUAAAUGCCUGAUAUAAAUAUUAACUGUUAUUUCUGCAAACGUUCCCACUGUUUUAUAUACUUCAUUUCCCCCAUUUGUGAGACGGCAAUGUAUUCUGGAAAUUUGAUGGAUAGAAACUCGUGAUUGAGUCUUCUCAGCAUGGGAUAGGUCAGUAUUUGUGACUCAGCUGGCUGGUGCCAGAGUGGAGAACUCGUCUGAUUUGUUUCCACCCCAGGCACUGAAGGAUUUUCAAGAUUUUCCUCUUAAUAUUUGGUUUUACUUGAUAAUCCUAGAGCAUGCUGGGAAAUCUCAGCAAGAGAAAAAAUUUAGUAACCACAGGGAGGCCUGCUCAGAGGGCUGUGGGUAAGUAUGAAAGCUUAUGUGUAUGCCUACUAAUAACUCUUGAAUAUUUUGCUUUUCACAAGGUUUUCCUUCAACAAAAAGUAUGUAGGCUUGUAAGGACAGUGGGCCUUUAGAAAACUCAGCCAUUCCCAGAAAGACAAAUGCACAUUUGAGUCAUUUCCCAAGAGAGAUGUCACUAGUCAGGAAGGUAUGUGGAACCACACGGUUCAGCUUGCAAUUUAGAAUUUCAAAAGCAGGAGUUGGCCAAAAGUUGCCUAGGGUUUUUAACCUCACGUUUUUACCAUAAAUUUUCUUUCUUAUUUGUUGAGUGCUGACCUCACCCUUGUCAUAGGUGGGAUAGAAGAGAUGCUAGCUGCCUCUGAUCAACAUUGGAGAAAAUGCCCAAUUAAGAAAUAGGCUUCAUAGCCAAGGUGACUAAAUCCCAAAGGCUUGUUUGUUUUCUUUGUGCAACCCAACUUCUUAUGGGCUUGCUUUUGGAUUCUGUUGUUUCCUUUGUUUUUGUUUGGUUGGUUGUUUAUAUGUUGUUACUAAGACUCUGUCUUGGAGAUGUUGGACAAUAGGCUAGUGUCUCAUUGGAUCUAGGUGUUCCAGAUGUGAGCUAGGUCCUAGAAGGAGGUGGUAAGAAGGCUUUGCACUAUGCCCUGGGGAGGGCUGUUUUGCUGGCGGGUGACCAGGUUCUGAGGGAGUCUGUACCUAGUAGAUUUUCUCAACAUUCAGCAGGUGUGUGAGACACCUGACAUGGCUGAUCUUGGUACAGAAGGAAUCCAGCUGGAAGUGAUCUGUGUGUAGCAUGUCUCAUAGAAAUACAAGGAGCCUUGUCUUGUGACCCUGUACCUGUAAGGCCUCAAAGGACCUCACUCAUAACAGCUAGGAUGACUCUAUGAACCCCUAUAUGCUGGAAAUAGCCCCAGCUUAAUUUAGUUUAAUUCAGUUCACACUUAUUAGGUUCCUACUAAGAAAAAUAAUUUGCUUGAACAUAAUUAUUUUUUGUGAUUUAGUUUAUCCUCAUUUUAAUUGGAAGAAACUGGGGAUUAGAGAGGGUAAGUGGCUUAUCCAAGUUCAUACGACUGGUUCUUCCUGCCACAUGGCUUCAUUUUGAUAAGAAAUAUGACUUUCUCUUCUGUGAUAAAAAUAAGAUCUUGUGCCCUGGUGAGUUGGACAGUCUGGGAGUUCUGCCUGUUCUGAUUUUUUUUCCUGGUGGGAUAUUGGAUGAAACAUUCUAAUACUCAAUUCUAAAUUCAUGGUAACUUUGGGAAAUGUAUGUGCUUGUGUACAUGUGUGCGCAUGUGUGUGUAUGUGAAAUAGAAUGUAUGAUAGUUGUCCCAGGGUAGAUUUCCUGAAACAAACUCAUGUCUAUUGGGGCACUCAUCAUACCUUCCCUUUACUCUGUGUCUAAUGCUGGUCUCCCUUAGGCUCAUCAAUUAGGAAAGCCUAUAGCUGUUGCCACAUAACUGUCUGGAACUCUCAAUGUUGAUAUAUCAUUUUUAUCUGUUUAUAGACAAAUGAAAAUUUAGCCACUUUUUUUAUUACUUAAAUUGAAGACAGCUCAAGCCUGUCUCAACAAUGUGAGAAUGUCUUCUUUUUAUAAUCUCAAGUCCUUAUGAUGCUUAUGCAAACCUUUUUAAAGAAUAAAUAUAAAAGGAAUAUUGCCCCUGAUUAUGUAAAGCUGAUGUGGCAGACAUGGUAGAUUGUCUUGUUUGACAUCUGUACUAUCUCAUUCUCGUCUGCUCUUCCAUAUAGCGUUUGUCAGGAAUCCUUGUUUUGAAGGAUCUUGAUAUGUUUUGGAUACAAAUUUUAGUGGCAGCAGUGCUGAAGGCACCAUUCACUCUUUUGAGUCUAGCAGAAGCAAAGCCACAUUAAAGCCCAUAGUUCUUAGCAGCUUUCCAAUUCCCAGAUUGCAGAGAGUGCAGAUAAGUUACUGUAUUCCUGAAGUGGUUUCCUGAUUCCCUCAUAUAUCAGUCAAGAAUCUCCAAAGAAACAGAAAAAAUAGAAGAUAUAUAUGUUAAAGAAUUGGCUUGAGUGAUUUUGGGGACUGGCAAGUCCAAAAUUUGUAGGACAGGCCAGCUGGCUGGAAACUGAGAUAGGAAGUGAUAUAGUCUUGGGUGUGAAACCUGUAGGACAGGCUGGCAGGCUGGAAGCUCAGGAAGGAUUUACAUUAAAAUGUUGAGGCAAAAAGUAAAAUAAAUAAAAUGGUGAGGUGGAAUUCUCCAUUCUCUAGAAAAUCCCAAUUUUUGCUCUUAACACCUUCAACUGAUUAGAUAAUGUGUGCCCACAUUAUCUUUAAAAGUAAUGUUCUUUAAAGUCAACUGAUUGUAGAUAUUAAUCCCAUCUACAAAAUACCUUUAUAGCAAUAUCUAGAUUAGUGUUUGACCAAACAACUGGGCACCAUAGCUGAGCCAAACUGACACAUAAAAUUAACCGUCACAUCUAGUUUCCUGACUGUGGCAGAGAUAACGAUGAACUUGAUGGGCCACUUAAGCAGGAUUCUUCUAGAAAUCUGUCCUGGAGUUUCAUCCUAGAAUCUGCUAUGACAACCAGCUCAUCUAAGAAAUUU
rnacentral:lncRNA from 1 species